CCCAAACUCCGGCGUCCGCAGUCUUUCUCGCCGUGAACGCCGGCGUCCCACCUCCUUGUCGGCGUGGACGCCGUCGGCGGGUAGGCCACCGCCCACCGUCCCCUCCCCUCCCUGAAACCGAGUCUCACCCCAGGCUCCGCCGAGGACAAGCGCUGUCCGCAGUGACACACCAACCAACGCAAGCAUCUCUCCUGCGCCGCCCGCCUUCCCCAGGAGCAACCGGAACGACAUCCGGUCGCUUCGGCCGGGUCGCAUCGCAUCGCAUCGUCGAGCCGUGAUCCUCUUCUCCAGUUCCCCUCAACGGUAAUGUGCCUUCUCCGGCCCCAAUUCCUUGCGAUCCUCCCGCUUUUUCUCGGGAGGGAUACUCCUUAUGGGUAUCGCUACGAUUCAAUCAGUGCUGGCGAUUCGGUAUCGUUGCGGCGGUGUCGAGCGGUGAGCGCGCCCCGGCGGUUGAGGCCGGGGGACGCACGGUUCAAAGCUAACGUUGCGCCGCUAGGCGGUUGAGUUUCCUAGACGCGUUGCGUGGCGUAUUGUAGAUGGAAACUUGGAAUGGACGCUGGGAUGUGUGUGAGGUCACUGCCAGGUACUAGAGAGAGCUGGACCAAUCUGUUAGUUAUUUGAGCACGCAUUAUCAGAGCACCGAAGUGCACUUUGCUGUGUGGGUAAUUUCUUGAUGCGUUGGUUGGUUUGAUCAGACUCGCUCUCCAUAUCAUCACUGCAAGCUCAAGUGUUGAAUAAUAUUAGUGUUUAUCAUUCUUUAUGUAUUGCAUUUAUCUAUGUAGAUGUAGAUGCCAUUUUUACAAGUUAUCUGCUAUAUUUGUUUCGUUCCGUGGUUGAACAUUGAUUUGCUUGGUUAAUUUGAUAUCCAUUAUAUCCCUUGGUGGAUCUUACAUUGAUUUUCUUUCGUUCCUUAACUCUAUUUUAAUGUCAGAGUCCUGUAAUUCUUUCCCUUUUCUAAUCUUACUUUAAGGUCUCCAUGGUCCCAUUUGUAUAUGCCAUCACGAGGAAUAUCUGGAUAUGCAAUCCUUGUUCUCUUGACAAAAAAAGAAAAUCUUCCACAGCAAUUUAAGUUUAUAAGGCCUUCAGAACUGCAGAUUUUGUGUCUGCAAGGCUCAGGGAAAAAACCCAGGAGGAGAACCCACCAUGCAGGUUUAUACUUGAAUUUUAGAACACUAAUAGGCAGGAUGGUCACGUCCAUGGCCUCCUUCAUUAUGCUUCGGAAAACCACCAAGCAGAUUUAUAGUUUGAAUAUUUUUUUGAUACUUGAACUUUGGAACACCAUUUUUUUUCCAACUGAACACCUUUCCUCAUAAUUGCUAAUAUCAACAUCGUAAUAUUUUAUUGAGGCCUAGUGACAUAAGAAGAUAACCUCCAAAUGCUAGUUUGUUUCAUAUGAUAUAAGUCGAUUACUCUAGUGCUUAACUGUCAACUAACAUCUCAUAUGUUUUCAACUGUUUUAUAUGGAUAUCAGAUUCUGAAUUGUGAAUGCUUCUUCCUUGUUGUAGAUGUUUUUCUGUAUCUGUACUUCAGCUUGAUCCCAGAAACCUGUUAAACCACCCAUAAAAUAUUGUUAAGAGUUGGUAAUGUCCAAAGGAACUAUUCUCCUAGAACAACAUGCCUGAUUUCUCAUAUAAGUAAACAGAGGGAGAGUUGUUGAUAUUAAUGGUGAAUUUCUGUGUGCCUCUUUCUUGCAUAUGCCAGUGCUGUGGAACAUUUUUCUUAUUUCUACUGCUUGUAUUGUGUGUCUAUUUUUUUUACAGGUGGUAUCACUUGUUUCUUGAAAUAGCCGUUGUCUGGAGGGGUGACCAAGCAUAAUUGUUCACCACUAAAUGGGUAGAGCCUUUUCUUUUUGUAUAUAUGCAAUGAGUUGUAUAGCUAAAAACACCACUUAAGUUACAUAGCUUGAUUGUGGCCUACAGAACAUUAGGAAAGCUUGAUUGUGGCCUACAGAACAUUAGGAAAGUACACUCAUCUCGUAAAAUGCAUAUGUUCCAAACCAAGGAAAUUAAGCUCUAAAUCUGUUUACUAUAUUAUUGGAAGCAAAUUAUUUCUGUUAGAUUUAGAGUAUUCCUCUUCUAAAUUUAUUACAUCAACCUUUGUAGAUUUUGUGCUUGUGUCGGAUUAGAUGUUAUUAAUGACUACUUUUUUGAAAGAUCAUCAUUAAAAACUAAUGGCUCAACUAUUGUCAUGGUUUCUACUAGAAAGAGGGCCCUUUUGGAUUUUGUAUGACUUAGUGUCUAACAUCUACAGUUGUAUUAUUUUAAAAUGGAAAGUUCUGUCCUACCUUCUGCCACCAACACCGCUCUCCUUUUGGCAGUUGAAGUAUAAUGCAGCAACUGGUGCUCCGAGAUUGUAGAUUGCUGAGAAGUCUCUGAUGUUGAAAUUUUGCCGCCAUCCUGGUGCAUAAACUGUCUGUCGUGCUUGCUGUUUGAAUAACACAAAAACAAUUCGAUGAAUUCCAGCAGGCGGCCUUGGGCUUUCGUAGGGAACUAUUUCAUUGCCUGAAAAAGUUUGUAUUCCUUAUUAGAAAGCUUACUGUAAUUUCAAUUUUUAAGGUGAAGGCUACCUAUAACCAUUCUACAGUACUGACUUUUCUAACUGUUCCCACGCCCUCCCCCACCCACACACGCACAAAUAGCCUGUGGCGAUGGAGUUAUUGCUACCUAUAGCAUAAACCCUUGUAUCAUCCAGAGCUGCACAUAUAUUAUCGAGAGGUGGAAUGUUCCCAUUAUUAACCAUACAUGAAAAGGGAGAUAAAGGGAUAAAGUAUGAUCAACUAUGAAUCAUAAAUUCGCAAAAUGCAUUCGGUCUAUUAUGAUUAUGAUGGUAAUUUUGUGAUUUGUUCAAAGUUUACUUAAAACUUUCUUGCAGUCUUGAAUGAUUAACAAAGAAGUCUGUCUAUCUGGUGGCCUAAGAAGAACAGAACUUGGUGAGCCUAUCAAAAGACUGUGCUGCUAGAUUUGCAUGUGUUACUAAAGAUACGUUUAUGAAUCCAGUGAUAUUGCAUGACUUAGAAGAAGUCCUUGAUGCAGUUCUCAAAAAAAGUCGCAGCACUAGUAUUUUGCGAGAACUAAUAACUAUAAUUUGUGGGAUUAGCUGGCAGCUUCUUGAAGGGGACCCUGAACCAGAAAGCAAUUUGGCAACCUUAUGAUCUCGUAUUUAAUCUGAACACUAAUUUCUUUCCAUAUUUUAUUUUUGUCUGGAAAUGGAAGUUCUAACUUCUAAUGUUUAAAGUUCUUAGGAUGUCCCGCAGAUUUAAUAUACAACUGUGUCCCAUAUUUCUAUGGGCCCACACAGAAGAUGCCAAUUGUCGAGCAUUGUAUAUUGUCAAGCAGUGAAGCAGGUAACGAUAUCAACAUCCAUCUACUUGAUUUCCUGUAGAAGUCUUGCCACACUGACUUAAGUGAUAUAGUGGGACCCACAGUAAAUAACAUGAUCUCAGAUACUCAACUUGAGGCGCUGUUGGGCAGAUAACAACCGUCCAACUGCUUAACCUGCAUCAAAAUAGGUGAAGUCACACAUUAGAGUGGGGCUCAUCCCCUCUCUCUAAGGUGCUUUACAUUUGAUUCAUAGGUAUGCAUUAUUAAAAUGAUUCAGUAUAGUUUAGUCUUCAAUAAAAUUACCCAAUCCUAUUCUUCUCAAUCCCUGAAUGGUGCUAAAUUCACCUAGCAUGCACGUGGCAGUGUGGCACAGAUAUUUCUUGAUGCCAAUUUCGGAUUCUGGUAUGUAACAUGACACCACUUGCAACUGGCAGGGGACUAUUUAGACAACUAUCGAGUUGAUGUUAGUUCGGUACAAAAUUUUGGAAUUUACUAUAUGUCCAUGCACACAUCUUUCUUCAAAAUUUGGACACUGGUACUGCUAAGCAUGGAUGUCAGGUACAAGAACACAAGCAUGGAACAAGAUAUACAUGUAUAAAGGUUCUAUUGUAAAUGCUUUACAUACCAUCUUUAAAAUGUAAUUUAUGUAACCAUUUGCUCACCAAAAUAUCGUCAAAGCCUUUAUCUCUUUGCUAAGUUCGUACAGUUAUUGGUCAAACUCAAACGUGUUACAUUGCACUAAUUACUCUUCCAUAGUUAUUUCCUUUUCUAUUAUCAAAUGUUUUGCUGUUUGACAUAGAUUUGACUGACCACAUGAUUUUGUUCAUUGCCAAGAGCAAGGUGCUGGUGAAAUGUUUACAUUAAGUGGAAGAUUACACAGGUUAUGUAUAUUUGAUUGUGACAGAAAGUGAAUCUUGAGUUUGCCUUUUGUGUUACUGUAAAAAUAAUGUUUAAGACCUAGUCCUCAGAAAGAAAUGUUUGAAGAGCUGUGUCUUAAAUGCUAAUUCAGUAAGAAGAGGCUAGAUAAUGUGGUACCCACCAAAACGUAUGUCUCUUGCCUCUGGUAUAUCUGUCACCAACCUGUAGAAAACAGACAAUAAGAAAAGAUACAAGGGCCCCACCUUUAGAUCUUUAAUCCACAUUACAAUCACUAAUGUACAAUGCAGAUAAUUAAGUAAUUAACUUUUUAAAACUAAAUUAAGCACAUAACUAUGAAAACCAUACAUGAAUCAGGAGAUUAAUAUUGAUGUAUGCAGUUAGUUGAGCGUUCGUAUCAAGAACAGGUGAGGUGAACAUUCACAUAUCACACUCAUAAACGUAAUCUAUUCUAUGAGUUUUUCAUUUAUAUUCUGACGGUUGAUUCUUAAUAGCAAGUAGCAAUCUAGAAUUUGAUCAAUUAACCAAACAAGAAACUUCAUUUCUGCAAAUGGCUAUCUUCUAUUAUGUUACAUUGGACCAUCAUAUUAGAAGUUUAUAAAUUGAUACCUUCUGCCAGUUCGGUCAACUUUUAGAUACUCCUAGGCACAGAUUUCGUAGUUUAUAACUUUUCUAGAUAAUCCUAACCAGUAACCACAAUUCUCGAGCUUAUAGUCUGAUAGUCUCCUUGUAAAGUUGUAAUUAAACAUCUAUAAUUGUCAGUUGAGCAUGGUAAGUAUUGUUCUAGCAAUAUAUGUCAGUGGUACAGAGUAUAAGUAAUAGUGAUAUACCACUUGGCUUUUUUGAUGAAUUUUCUCUUAACUCUAGUCUCGCCCCCCCCCCCCCCGGUGGUUCAGACUAUCAAUAUAAGUAUAUAACCUUUGCAUGCAUGCAUAUGUGAAAUUUUCCACGUCAAUCUUGUAACUAAUGCCUUAUUUUAUUAAAUACUAUGACAAUUUACCUUGCUAUGUUUGAUAAUUGUAACAACUGAGAAUGAUGAUCUUAAAGUAGCCAGGUUAGAAUGUGUGGUCCAUUACUGUUUUUUCUCUAAUAUAUCUAUCCAUGAAGUAAUGAAUUGACAGUUUUUUCUAUGAUGCCUUUUCAGUUACCUUGUCCAAGCCUAAUUUGUAAAAUAUCUUGACGAAUUUAGAAACUAUUGUAAUGAUAUAAGAUGCACUGUUAUUUAUUUUAUUUCCAAGCUACAGAUAUCAACUUAACUGGAAACUAAUAAUUGUUGACAAUAAACACAGUGAACAAAGAGAUUUAGAUUAAGUGAACUACAGUGAUAGGGAAAAAAACUAUGCUAUCGCAGAAAUUGUGCUUUCUUACCCAAUAGCAUACACAACAAGAUUUCUUCAGAUGUUGAUGGAUGGAAAAGAAACACCCCCCUCCUUUUUCGAGAGGGUUGCAUCCAAUCCUGCAGGUUGUCUAGGUAAGGGGUUCUUGAACUACAAACGUAAAAAAAAUGUGGUUUGCUUGGAAGGUGGCACUAUCCAGAGUUUAAAAAAGAACCAAUGCAACAUUGAACUUGAAUAAUAAAUAUAAUAAGCUCUCACCAUUGUAGAUAUUCCCUGUACUCUGGUUUGCUUGGACUUGGUGCAUCAGGAUCCACCAUAACCUUAGAAGAGGUAACUUUGUUUAGCAUUUGUAUAUUGAUAUAUCGAGUUACAUGUGUUAUAAAGGAGCUGAGACUUAAUUCUACAUCACAAAUGAGACACAAGAGAGUACUUUUGGUGACCUUACUGGUUGGUGUUAAAAAAAAAACAAAACCAGCCAUAAGUUGUGAUAAAACUCGAAGUUCCUAAGCACCUCUAGCCAUGUGUCUCUGAGCAAGAAAGAAUCGUAAGGGUGUGAGAGUAAUUUAUCUUGUGUGCAACUUUUCUUAGUUCUUUUUUUUUACCACGAAGGCUAGGCUUGAAAUAUGUGGUACAGUCCAAUGACAGUACAGUUUUUUAAAUUCUGCCCAUGUUUAUUCAGUAGACUGUUUGUAGGCAGCAACUUGACAGAGCGCCACGCAACGAAUGUACUUGUAAGGCCUUAUCCUAUCCGAUAUCCUUGUACCAGAGAGCACAUACAAGAUAGGGUGCAGAAGCAUAUUCUAAAAUAGCAUGCAGGAUACAUGGACUUGAUCAUCAGCAAAAGGAUUCUAUGUGUUUUUUGUAUAACCAACAAAUACCAUCCGAUGGGAUUCUCUGUAUUUGUUCUCGCAACACUCAGUGCAACCUAAUCAAUAAUUCAUAGAUCGUUGAAAGUGAGAUGUAUUUACACAAAUCAACAUUUGUGCAAGUUUAUUGCUUAUUUAAGUAGAACAGCAUCUCUAUGUUGUAUAUUUUUUUUCUGAAGGAGAAAGAAACGUAUAAAUAAUAAAUUAGUAAGUGUUUGAUGUGCAUGUAUUACUCUAAGAACUCCUCUAGUUAUAUUAAGCGUUACCUCUUCUUACAUUAGAGUAAUAUUUUUAGUUGAACCUUUUCUUGGAAUUAAAGUCAUGUUCAUCUUACCUAAUGCAAUGCAGAAAACACCUGCACACUACAUAUCAUGAUCCAACAAUCUAUUAUAUGGUCACUUACAAGAGUGUAAAGCUUUGCUUGGUCGUGGCCUUCAAUCUCAACAUGUGGUGCAUUGAGCACUGCUGAUGCUCGUAGUCCAGUUCCAUUUGUGAUCUCCUUGUCACCAUAAUUAAUCCUCAUUGUUGCUGACUUAACAAAAGGAUCCAACACAUCACCAAUUACCUGGCUCAAUGCCAAAGGAUCCCUGCCUCGUGACAUAGUUCAGUAUUAUAAAUGAGCUGGCGACUAUGGAAGAGAGCUUUGUUGAUGUUCAACUGAGGUGGAAACUACAGUAUGGUGGAAGGGCUAUCAAACGAUGUUUUUCCUGUGGGAAGAACAGAGCAGUCCUUCGUAAAUUUAUAUUAGUUGUGAAGCAUCCACUUUAUGUUCACAACAUUCCAUUGAGCACUAUAAGGAGAUGGAAUCUUACUUUCCAUAUUAUAUUAUCAUUUUCACUUAUAGUUGCUUCUUUGCUGCAUGGACAUGUAGAGCACCUAUCAACCUCCAGAUGGCCUAGUUGUAGGUGAAGCUGUACGAUCUUUGUGAAUGAUAUAAUAUGGUCAGUUUUUCAUGCAUAUAUUCUCCAAAGAUCUGGAGGUAUGCUUAAAGCUCCAAGAGUUAGCCUCCCCUGCAUGGCGCCUUGCCGGGGCUUGGCCAAAGGCUCACGAUGAGUCAUUUCAUGUUCAACGAUACUACUCUGAGUGGUGAGCACAUAGCUGGAGAAAGAUUCUUUGGAUCAACAUCACAAUGCAGCAGUACGAAACCUGGGGAGGUAGGAGCCGGUCAUUGGCAAUUUUCAUUCUUCUCUUUAUUUGCUUUUCCUUGAUGGCAGUUGGAGUAUCUAGUACUUCACUCGUCACCUUCCCUGGAUCUGCUCUACAAGACCAUCAUUGGUGGUUCAUUUCUACAUGACAUUCCUAUUCUUUCUCAUACUUAUGUUUACAUUUUCAUACAAUUGUCAUGCAUUCACUUCUUGCUACAUCAUCCCUUGUCCACAGAAUACAGCUGUUCGCAUGUACAGAACUAUUCGAACCAAACAAGAACCAGAGAAGCAUCUCCUGGCUUGAGUGGGCGCAUCAAUGUUUUGAUAUCAUAAUUCCAGGUUCGCCACGGCAUUUAAAAUCUCCUUGCGAGAAGAAAUUAAACUUUUGAUGGCACUAAUGGCCAUUUAGAAUUUCCAAGGGGUAUAGAGUCAUAUCUUAAUAUGGAGCUUGCAUUCAAGAUCUUCCAGCCAGAACAUCACAUUCUGCUUCUGCUCUCCACAUAUGCGUCAAUAUCUGCAACUGCCAUAAAUGAUCCAUGCAGAUUUGCUGCUUCUUUUUUUUCAGCACGGAAUAAAAGGUAUUGUCUUGCAGAUCAGAUGGGCAUCUCCACAAGGACAUUGCAAGCAGAAAGGUAGUGGAUCAGCUUUGGAUUUUUAAAGUUCUUUCAUCGCAAGGGGGAAAAGGCACCAGGGAAUUUCCCCGCACUGCAAACAGCCUACACCCAGCUUCUGUGGAUGAACUCUUGUCAUGCCAGCCGUUGGUGCUGCCUCUCCUCUCUCUAGACUGUUCGCCAGCCAGCUGAAAACGGCGUCGAAGUCAGAUCACUUCUAUGUGAGAGCUGAGUUUGUUCUAUUGAUGGGCAACCUUAUCAUUUUGAAAAUCUGCAUCUAAAAGAUUCUGUGUAGAGGUUAUAGCACACUCUUAUAAUUUCAGGAGCUAUAAUGGCUAAUGCUGGAGUCAUUGGGGCUCUAUGCUUGCUGUCUGCCAAUUACUUGCUACGACUUUACAAGAUUGAUUUUCAGCACUGGGGGUUGGAUGAUUGGCGUCACCACUUCAUCAUAUUAAUUCAACCAGUUUGAACAAAAUGUGCAAUGCUUCUCCGAGGUAAGACCCUUGUAAUGCAUACGUGAGCCAGAUUGCUUAUACGUCCUUCUUUGCAAUUGCAGGGCUUGUUAAGACUGGUGGCCCGUGGCUUGGAACGUGAGACACGAACCUCAAAUUGAAUGGAUUGAUGAGAACAUUUUGGGACUUGCUUGGAGCGACUUGAACGUCUACAGUCGGCAGCAGAAUGAUUUUGGACGUGUGCGUGUGAAGACAAGAUGUCGUUUGGACGCUGGUACUGUGUACAGGCUAAAGUGAACAACACAUGUGGCGCCAAGCAUCCAAAGCUAACGUCUGAUAGAAUGUUGAUUUUCUGUAGCAAGAACAAUGCAUCCAUACGUUGAUGUGACGCCAAAGUGGAAAGAGGUGAGUCGGUGACAGAUGCUAUCUUGCACAAUUCCCAUGCGGAGCUAUUAUCCAGACCGGGUGGAUUCGGCCCGACCACUGAACCACACCCACACCUCCUUGGGCCUGUUGGACUGAAUUGGCACGACAACGUUUGGGCGUAGCUUUCUUUUCUGGUAUUUCCCCGUGUCUUUCCUUGGUUGCACUUGUCAAGAAGAACCUGCGAAAUUGUACAUGUGCGUCCCCAAACUAUAUCUAUACCUAUUUCUAAAACGAGUAAAAUUUCCACCUAAAUUUUUA